rnacentral:rRNA from 1 species
CGUGAGUGAUGAAGGCCUUCGGGUCGUAAAGCUCUGUCAAGUGGGAAGAACCUGAUUAUUGUUAAUAUCAGUAAUCACUGACGGUACCACUGAAGGAAGCACCGGCUAACUCCGUGCCAGCAGCCGCGGUAAUACGGGGGGUGCAAGCGUUAUUCGGAAUUAUUGGGCGUAAAGAGCGCGUAGGCGGCCAGUUAAGUCAGAUGUGAAAGCCCGGGGCUCAACCCCGGAAGUGCAUUUGAAACUAAUUGGCUUGAGUAUGGGAGAGGGAAGUGGAAUUCCUGGUGUAGAGGUGAAAUUCGUAGAUAUCAGGAGGAACACCGGUGGCGAAGGCGACUUCCUGGACCAAUACUGACGCUGAGGCGCGAAGGCGUGGGGAGCAAACAGGAUUAGAUACCCUGGUAGUCCACGCAGUAAACGGUGAUCACUAGGUGUAGCGGGUAUUGACCCCUGCUGUGCCGGAGUUAACGCAUUAA